GUUAUCAAGCCUGUGUGAUUUGUUUCUUCAGCUGUGAUUGUGAUAGCUUGUCUGCUACGUCGAAUAAUGCAGGUGCAGGUAUUUAAUUGCACACAUGUUGCCUAUGUUCCACAUUCACUAACUUCACUGGAAGUGUAUCGAAGAAAACUUAACGUUUUUGAGUAGAUAUGUGACACCUUUCUGCAAAAGGUCAGGUCUUCUUUUGUUUACUAGCAAUAUUUCUGUUCUUGAAGAACAUGAGGCUCCGCUCUAAAUAUCCAUAGGUUACAAGAAAAUUGUAAAUAAACUGUUCUGUAGUGUAGCAUUUCACACCUUCUAGAGUUGUUAGGAAACCUAAAUAAAGGUAAAUAUGGUGUUGUCUUCCGUUGUUGAUGCAAUUUAUUGCGCUACAGGCGGUCCCGUUUGUAAGAACCAUUCUACAGACUAAUAUAAACAAUUACGAUUCGCUUUCACUUUCACAAGAUCUCGCAGAAAUCAACAUUAUAACUUCCCGGUCGCUUGGCGUGCUAACAAUUGCAGUGGAUAACAAAAAAAGGUCUGAAUAUCGUGACUGUUGUGUUAGACUGUGAUACUACUCAAAUAAUCUAUUUUAUGAACAGGGCAAAUCAAUAUUACAACUUACGAUAACCUGUUUUAAGCUGCUGUGAUGUGACAUGACAUGAUGACCAGUGUGAAUCCCGCCAUAUGAAAUCCAUUGUGGAAUGUUUUGACAUCCAUGAUGUGAUGUGAGGCGAUGAACAGAGGAACUGACUUUCACCUUAACAAGUGGUACUGCAACCUGGUGGUGCCAUGACAGCCGGUCUCAACGUAUAUAGGUGUGCAUAGAACAAUUCACAGGAAGAGCUGAAUAAAUUCCAAGAAAUCCUUGGACUUUGUAAAACAUUUUGAAGUAGAUGACAUUAAAAACAAUUAAUAUUUUUUAAGAUUUUAAAGUAAAUGAACUGAAGUAUCAUACACUAGAACUAGACCGAAAUUACUUGAAUGUGCAAUUUCAAGGAUUUUCCCUUAUUUACCACAUUAUUUAACUUAACCAACUAAAUCUGAGGCUGGUAAACGUGCUAAUAGAGGACUACUGAAGCCAGAGCAAGAGAAUUUCAAGAGAAAUGGAUAUUGGUUGGCAGAAAAUGUGAUUCAAAACUUUAUUUAUAUGGGUAAACACUUAAUAAGGUUGUAGCAAGUGACAAGUUGGUACCAUACUGCAAGAAACAAUUCAUUCUGUUUCUACAGGUUAUCAGUGGACGUCAUAAGAAACCAAGAUAAUUGGUUUACUGUAUCAGGCAAAGAUUAUGAUACCAUUCUGUGUUUACCAAAAGUUGUAAUUCCGUUUCAUUUUCUGGCAGUGUUUAUCCUUUGGAUUUUACAGUAUGAAUUUCGUGAUCUUUAUUUAAAUACAUUGUACUUUGAAGUGUUUAUGAAGUUAUAUUGUUUUCCAAUUUUGUCUAUGAUGUUACUACACAAUUUCACUAAAUGUUAUAUGUACAGUACAAUAGAAAGUACAGUAGAAACUGUACAAUAGAAAGAAGGAAGUACAAUAGUACUUUACAGUACAAGUACAAUACAGUACAAGUACAAUAGCACAUUACUAUGGAAAGUACAAAGUACAAUAGAAAUUACAGUAGCAAAACUUUAUCCUACUAUAUUUCACUUAGCAGAGAGAUAGUUGGUUUAUAAAAAAUGUAAAUUGUUUAUAUCUGUUUUACAUCAUUCAUAACUAGUGCCACAUGGAGUUGAUUAUUUUCCAAAUUUAAUUUAAGUAAUGAUAAAAUUUUAUUGUCCAUCAAACUAGUAACUACUAUUAUAUCUCAGAAACACACUUAAGUUAUUCAGAAAUAAAAUCUGGAUGUAAAAAUUAAAAAUACAGAAAUGUUUGCACAUGCAAUAUUUUGAAACUGUUGAAUUUAUUUUCAUAACUCUGUAAAAUAAUUUUGAUAUAUAGAACAAAAUGCAUGUCAAAUAAGUUUGUCUGCCUUCAUUUAGCGUCCAAGCUGCAUUCUGUUGUCAGACUGUGAACUGUAAGAACUUGUAUUGCUCAUAUAAAUGUCUUUUAUUUGGAAAAAGUGUUGUGUAUAUUACUCUCUUGUAUGCAACAACAUGUCUGAAGUACUUUACUUCUGUUACUAGACGAAAGUAUGAAUUGACCUAAAAUAAUCUUCUUGAAAACUAUGAGCACUGCAUUCUUAGAACGAAAAGAUGAGUAUAACAUUCCUCAAAUUUUGAGUGUGCUUACUUUCUGCUUUACGAUAUGUAUGAUAUUAGUAAUUAGAAAAGCUAGAACAGUACGUAAGUGUUAUAAAAAGCUGUUUAAACAUUUAGUAUUGUUGGAAAGAAGGCACAUUACAACAGGAUUCGAAAAUUUUAAAUUACUGUAAAAAUGACAGUUUUGAAGUUAUUACUUUCUUAUGCAGUUCAGCUGAAAAUAAGUAAAAUAAACCCAUAUUCAAGUAA